GUUUGAUCCUGGCUCAGGAUGAACGCUAGCGGCAGGCUUAAUACAUGCAAGUCGAGGGGUAACAGGGGAGCUUGCUCCCGCUGACGACCGGCGCACGGGUGCGUAACACGUAUGCAACCUACCUUUAACAGGAGGAUAGCCCCGAGAAAUCGGAAUUAAUACUCCAUAACAUUAUAUAUUGGCAUCAAUAAAUGAUUAAAGCUCUGGCGGUUAAAGAUGGGCAUGCGGGACAUUAGUUAGUUGGUAAGGUAACGGCUUACCAAGACGAAGAUGUCUAGGGGAUCUGAGAGGAUAGUCCCCCACACUGGUACUGAGACACGGACCAGACUCCUACGGGAGGCAGCAGUAAGGAAUAUUGGUCAAUGGACGCAAGUCUGAACCAGCCAUGCCGCGUGCAGGAAGACAGCCUUAUGGGUUGUAAACUGCUUUUAUAUGGGAAAAAACCUUCGAACGAGUUCGGAGCUGAUUGUACUAUAGGAAUAAGGAUCGGCUAACUCCGUGCCAGCAGCCGCGGUAAUACGGAGGAUCCAAGCGUUAUCCGGAUUUAUUGGGUUUAAAGGGUGCGCAGGCGGGGCGAUAAGUCAGUGAUGAAUCCUACAGCUUAACUGUAGAACUGCCAUUGAAACUAUCGUUCUUGAGUACAGUUGAAGUGGGCGGAAUGUGUUAUGUAGCGGUGAAAUGCAUAGAUAUAACACAGAACACCGAUUGCGAAGGCAGCUCACUAAACUGCAACUGACGSUCAUGCACGAAAGCGUGGGGAGCAAACAGGAUUAGAUACCCUGGUAGUCCACGCCGUAAACGAUGAUUACUCGAUGUUGGCGAUACACAGUCAGCGUCCAAGCGAAAGURAUAAGUAAUCCACCUGGGGAGUACGAUCGCAAGGUUGAAACUCAAAGGAAUUGACGGGGGCCCGCACAAGCGGAGGAGCAUGUGGUUUAAUUCGAUGAUACGCGAGGAACCUUGCCUAGACUUAAAUGCAGACUGACCGCCUGGGAAACCGGGUUUCUUUCACGAGCAGUUUGCAAGGUGCUGCAUGGUUGUCGUCAAGCUCGUGCCGURAGGUGUCGGGUUAGUCCCAUAACGAGCGCAACCCCUAUCAUUAGUUGCCAUCRGGUAAAGCUGGGGACUCUAAUGAAACUGCCUACGCAAGUAGUGAGGAAGGUGGGGAUGACGUCAAAUCAGCACGGCCCUUAUGUCUAGGGCUACACACGUGCUACAAUGGUCGAUACAAAGGGUCGCUACCUGGUGACAGGAUGCUAAUCUCAAAAAUCGGUCUCAGUUCGGAUCGAAGUCUGCAACUCGACUUCGUGAAGUUGGAUUCGCUAGUAAUCGUAUAUCAGCAAUGAUACGGUGAAUACGUUCCCGGGCCUUGUACACACCGCCCGUCAAGCCAUGGGAGUUGGGGGUACCUGAAGUCAGUGACCGCAAGGAGCUGCCUAGGGUAAAAUCAAUGACUGGGGCUAAGUCGUAACAAGGUAGCCG
rnacentral:rRNA from 1 species